rnacentral:rRNA from 1 species
AUGAACGCUGGCGGCGUGCCUAAUACAUGCACGUCGCGCGAACAGACGAGGAGCUUCUCCUCUGACGUUAGCGGCGGACGGGUGAGUAACACGUGGAUAACCUACCUAUAAGACUGGGAUAACUUCGGGAAACCGGAGCUAAUACCGGAUAAUAUAUUGAACCGCAUGGUUCAAUAGUGAAAGACGGUUUUGCUGUCACUUAUAGAUGGAUCCGCGCCGCAAUAGCUAGUUGGUAAGGUAACGGCUUACCAAGGCGACGAUGCGUAGCCGACCUGAGAGGGUGAUCGGCCACACUGGAACUGAGACACGGUCCAGACUCCUACGGGAGGCAGCAGUAGGGAAUCUUCCGCAAUGGGCGAAAGCCUGACGGAGCAACGCCGCGUGAGUGAUGAAGGUCUUCGGAUCGUAAAACUCUGUUAUUAGGGAAGAACAAAUGUGUAAGUAACUAUGCACGUCUUGACGGUACCUAAUCAGAAAGCCACGGCUAACUACGUG